GAGAGAUGGCCGAGUGGUUGAAGGCGCUUGACUCGAAAUCAAGUUUACGAGUUUUUCGUAACAGGGGUUCGAAUCCCCUUUUCUCC
rnacentral:tRNA from 1 species